CACACGGAGGACGGGCUCACCUCCUCUCCCUCUCGCCCACGAUGUCCUCGCCGCCGCCACCACCCAUGCCGUCCACUUCCGGUGAGCUCCGGCGCCACGCACCAUGCCCCUGAGCUCCCAACGGUCCUCUCCUCGCUCCCCUCUAGCCAGAUUCUCUGCUCCCGGCCUCUACCGCCCGCUCGCAACCCCAUCCCCAUGGCUAGGGUUUCAGGCAGGGCUUCGCCGGCGUCAAGGGCAUCUUCACGAAGAUGUGAAGGACGCCAUGGACCUGCAGCUCCUCAUGGUUUUAUCAUGUUCCUAUCUCAUCCGCUCCCUUUCCCGUCCCUUCCCCAUCUCGGUUCCUUCCCUUCUUGCGCAGGUCAGCGGGGAGGAACCCUAGCCGGCAGCACCUCCUCACCUUGGAUGACGCCUCUGCUGCGCCAAGAUAGGGCAAGCAACCCCAUCUGCUCUCAAUCUCUCCCAUUAGCACAAGUCCAGUUUUUUUGAACAAAAUUCUGCUACUACACGAACAAGUCCAUGAAUAGAUCUAUUUUUAUUUGUGAAUUGAUAUCCUUCCAAACACAAACAGUGUAUAUAUGUGCUGUUUUUAUUUUUGUACCCUUUUCAUUUUUGUGCUUUUAUAUGUAAGCUCAUAAAAUAGUUAUACUGAAAAUGACAUGUAAGUUCUUACUGUGGGAGUAUGACGACAUGAAAUUCUAACUGAAUUCUUUUCAGCUGGAAAACGCCUUCCUACAAAAAGGAAAUAAAUUAUUCAAUUCUUGGUUCCACAUAGUCCUAAUUGCUUACAGUUUUAUCUCUGUUCAAUCUAUCUUACUGAAUUUCUGAACAACCAGGGUUGCUAGCAUGCUGUGUGGUGGAUUUGUUUUUCUGAAAUUGUUUCACGGCUAUUUGAGUGCUUUUGUUCAUUCUGUUCAUCAGUUCUUUCUGGUGUAGUGACUCAAGAAGUGAUUCUUCUGCAAAGUGAUGUGCUCUCAAUCGAGCCAGGCUCCAGGAAAGGUGACCAAGUGGUGUGUGUUUACCUAGCCGAGCAUAAUCUGAACGACUCCAACUGUUGUGUACAAAUCCAGCUAUGCAAGUGCAAGUAAAACUACGGUGGUUGUUGCAUUCACAAGCUGAGUACAAGGCAGGCUGACUACUAGGAGCCAGUAUGACAAGUCUACAAAGAUCUCCAGUACUGACAAGGCUCAGUCUGUACAAGGGGGUGUCUCAGUCUGGUUUGCCGUAGGUCUUCAUCGCUAUGUUGAAUCACAUGCUCCUUAUAGUCUAAUGCAAGUUGCUCAUAUUCAGAAAAUUGGUUACUCUUGAAUGAGGAAAUAAGAUGUCAGUGUGAAUUGGUCACUGCUUUCGGAAAGUGUAGGUCAGUGGGUUACAUUUUAGAAGAUAACACAAUAUUGGUGAUGCCUUAUGGACACAUCGCUGUUAAGGAUAAUGCUUUUGCAUUGAGUAUUGACAUUUCUGGUUGGUAUAAUGCAACACAGUGGAAUCUCUUUGUAACAUUGCAACUAAAUAUCUUGCAUGCAAUUCAAGGUGUACAGUGAUGUCGAGUGCACCGGGUUUGCAGAGCUGCCCCAAGUGCAAGCUCUACAUUGACAGAGUGGAUGCUUGCACCUUGCGCCUGCAGGUAACUAUUGGUUCCCCAAGUCUCCUUCCUACGUGUGGGCACUGUAUUUGGUACUUGUGUGGAUCCACAAUUUCUAGGUUGUAGAAACUGCAGGACUACAUGGUGAUUUGUCAAUGAUCUUAAGUUGGCCGACUCUACUACAUGGAAAGAAUUAAUUAUGCAAAUCCAAACUAUUUCUGUAUAAAGACUGGAUACUACUGUUAAUACUGAUUUGGUUAAUAACAUUUAGCUCAUGCAACUCUAAUGCCAGUUUGGCCAUCACUAUCAAAAGUAACACCUAUACAAGCUCUAUUAGUAAACAUCACAAUUCAUGAGUGUUGUUUGACAUCACAUUAGCGAGCUCCUCGCUCUUGUGAUCCUGUGUUAUGGAGUCAUAACCAUUUUCAGUUAUUUUCAUGCCAACACAUUCGAUGUUUUCUGUUUAAUGUUAAAUCAUAACCAUUAAUUAGUCCAUCAAUGUCUUUUAGUAUGUGUUUUCACUGCAAAAGCUUAACCAUUGCAGUUUCCUGUGUGCAGAAGCUUGUAGACAAUUUUGUUAACUGAUUUCUGUGAUUUGUUUUCUGUAUGCAGCCCCCACUUAUGUGGAUGGUUCGGCAUAUCCAUAUAAGCUUUGUCUUGCAAUGAUGGUCCAAAGUUUCAAAAAAUAUAUUAUAUGAAGUUUCAAAUUACUUUUUAAAAGUUUGAUGCAUCUCAAGGACAGUUAGUGGUUGUGUCCCGUAUCUAAGCAGCACACAAUUGUUGAAGGGUCAUGACAGAAUCAGAAUUUCCAGCAUUCCUUUUCCAAGGUAGCAUAGAUUCGGGAACUUAUUCAUCAGACUAAUUAGAGAAUAUUUUUACUAAUCUGGGCCGGAUAACGUGGCGGCUCGAGUGACUAGGGGCGGCGUGGCUGCUAGAUGCAGAACAGCGGUGGAUGCUGGAGCUUGAAGGGUCCAGAUCCGUGCGCGGUAGGGGUUGGGGAGGCGGAUCCAGAGAUGGGCGACGAGGAAAGGGUCGCUGGUGACGACGAGGAAGGCCGGAGCGCGUCUUCCCAGGUGGAUCCAUGGCAUCCGCGACUCCUGGGCAUAAAGGAGACAUGGAGGUGAGGGACAGAAGGAGGCGCGGUGCGGCGACCUUACGUAUUGAAAGUUCACUUCACAAAUCUGGAUAACUAGCUGUAACCCCCUUCUCAUAUCCUUGCACAGGUAAGCAACAAAGUUUGUUUUGGUGAUUUUUGCCUUCUUUGAUUGAUACUUUUGAAGCAUCAAUGGGUCUCAUUUGUUUGUCAAUUCGUCAGUUUACUGUAGCCUAUAUAGCUGUUGCCGACA